GCCACUAUCUAAGGAAGCUGGCCUGGCCCACUGGAGGCUGAGAGAACACAUGAGGAGAACCGAGCUGGCCCAGCCAACGGCCAGCACCCAACUGGCAGACAUGUGCGUGAGGCCAGCUUGGGCCUCCCAGCCCACCCUGGUCACCAGCUGAACGCCGCCACGUGAGCGAGCCCAGAAUCAAAGAAAUCAAAGCCAGGAAGAACGAGGGAGUUAUCAACACCAUUUCAAGUGAGUGCGGUGCUGUUGCCAGGCUCCGGCUUUCCAGCUGCACAGGGACAUCCUCCAUGAGGACAGCUAAACAAAGUGGAGUUUGUCACUUGUAUCCGAGGGGAGAUUUGAUGACGCCUUUCUGUUCAGCUGCAAUUUUCCUGCUUUAAGUAUGUUUUUCACCACUGAUGUCAUGAAAUCCUCAA